rnacentral:rRNA from 1 species
UUUUUGAAGAGUUUGAUCCUGGCUCAGGAUGAACGCUGGCGGCGUGCCUAAGAUAUGCAAGUCGAGCGGCAACAUGUUUCUCACCGAGGUUCGAAACAUUUAACAUUUAACAUUUACCAAUUCACAUUGAUUUAACAGGUAGCAUUUAGCAUUUUUAGCUUCAGAGCUUCAAUGUUCAAUGUCAAAUGAAAAAUCAAUGAAAAAUGUAAAUUGUAAAAUGACAAAUGCAUUUCGAGCUUCAGUGAGGAAUGAUGGCGAGCGGCGGACGGCUGAGUAACGCGUAGGAAUGUACCCCAAAGUGAGGAAUAAGCCCGGGAAACCGGGUCUAAUGCCGCAUAAUCUCUUUUAGAGCAAAGCCUUCGGGCGCUAUGGGAGCGGCCUGCGUAUGAUUAGCUUGUUGGUGAGGUAAAGGCUCACCAAGGCGACGAUCAUUAGCUGGUCUGAGAGGAUGACCAGCCAGACUGGGACUGAGAACGGCCCAGACCCCUACGGGGGGCAGCAAUUAGGAAUCUUUCACAAUGGGGGAAACCCUGAUGGAGCAACGCCGCGUGCAGGAGGAAGGCCUUCGGGUUGUAAACUGCUUUUAUCUGUGAAGAUUAUGACGGUAGCAGAUGAAUAAGGACCGGCUAACUCCGUGCCAGCAGCCGCGGUCAUACGGAGGGUCCAAGCGUUAUCCGGAAUUACUGGGCGUAAAGAGUUGCGUAGGUGGCAUAGUAAGCAAAUAGUGAAAGCGUCCCGCUCAACGGGAUAUACAUUAUUUGAACUGCUAAGCUUGAGCAUGAGAGAGGUAGAUGGAAUUUCUAGUGUAGGAGUGAAAUCCGUAGAUAUUAGAAGGAACACCGAUGGCGUAGGCAGUCUACUGGCUCAUUGCUGACACUAAGGCACGAAAGCGUGGGGAGCGAACGGGAUUAGAUACCCCGGUAGUCCACGCCGUAAACUAUGGAUGCUAGCUGUUAUCAGUAUCGACCCUGGUAGUAGCGAAGCUAACGCGUUAAGCAUCCCGCCUGUGGAGUACGGCCGCAAGGCUAAAACAUAAAGGAAUUGACGGGGACCCGCACAAGCGGUGGAGCGUGUGGUUUAAUUCGACGAUAAGCGGAGAACCUUACCAGGGCUUGACAUCCCGGUCGUAUCCCGUGGAAACACGGGAGUCAGUUUGCUGGACCGGUGACAGGCGCUGCAUGGCCGUCGUCAGCUCGUGUCGUGAGAUGUUGGGUUAAGUCCCGCAACGAGCGCAACCCUCGUCGUCUGUUGUAUUUCUCAGACGAGACUGCCUGGGUUAACCAGGAGGAAGGUGAGGACGACGUCAGGUCAGCAUGGCCCUUAUGCCCUGGGCGACACACGCGCUACAAUGGCCGACACAAUGGGACGCGAAAGCGCGAGCUGGAGCAAAUCCCAUCAAAGUCGGUCUCAGUUCGGAUUGGAGGCUGCAACUCGCCUCCAUGAAGCCGGAAUCGCUAGUAAUCGCAGAUCAGCCACGCUGCGGUGAAUACGUUCUCGGGUCUUGUACACACCGCCCGUCAAGUCAAGGAAGUCGGGAAUACCUGAAGCGCCUUUAGCCAACUUUAUUGAGGCGAGGCACCACGGUAGGCUCGGUAACCGGGACUAAGUCGUAACAAGGUAUCCGUAGCGGAAGCUGCGGAUGGAUCACCUCCUUU